CAGUAGCCGCGGGAAUACGAAGGGGGCUAGCGUUGUUCGGAAUCACUGGGCGUAAAGCGCACGUAGGCGGACUUUUAAGUCAGGGGUGAAAUCCCAAGGCUCAACCUUGGAACUGCCUUUGAUACUGGAAGUCUUGAGUUCGGGAGAGGUGAGUGGAACUGCGAGUGUAGAGGUGAAAUUCGUAGAUAUUCGCAAGAACACCAGUGGCGAAGGCGGCUCACUGGCCCGAUACUGACGCUGAGGUGCGAAAGCGUGGGGAGCAAACAGGAUUAGAUACCCCUGUAGUCCCUGUCUCUUAUAC
rnacentral:rRNA from 1 species